GGGGUAACGGCCCACCAAACCGACGAUGGAUAGGGGUUCUGAGAGGAAGGUCCCCCACAUUGGUACUGAGACACGGACCAAACUCCUACGGGAGGCAGCAGUGAGGAAUAUUGGUCAAUGGGCGUAAGCCUGAACCAGCCAAGUCGCGUGAGGGAUGAAGGUUCUAUGGAUCGUAAACCUCUUUUAUAAGGGAAUAAAGUGCGGGACGUGUCCCGUUUUGUAUGUACCUUAUGAAUAAGGAUCGGCUAACUCCGUGCCAGCAGCCGCGGUAAUACGGAGGAUCCGAGCGUUAUCCGGAUUUAUUGGGUUUAAAGGGUGCGUAGGCGGCCUUUUAAGUCAGCGGUGAAAGUCUGUGGCUCAACCAUAGAAUUGCCGUUGAAACUGGGAGGCUUGAGUAUGUUUGAGGCAGGCGGAAUGCGUGGUGUAGCGGUGAAAUGCUUAGAUAUCACGCAGAACCCCGAUUGCGAAGGCAGCCUGCCAAGCCAUGACUGACGCUGAUGCACGAAAGCGUGGGGAUCAAACAGGAUUAGAUACCCUGGUAGUCCACGCAGUAAACGAUGAUCACUAGCUGUUUGCGAUACACAGUAAGCGGCACAG
rnacentral:rRNA from 1 species